rnacentral:RNase_P_RNA from 1 species
GUGAGGGGGCUGGGGCUCUCCGCAAGGAGGAAGUUCCGCCCACCCCACCGGGGCCGCGGUGCCGCAAGGCACCUCCCGAGAGGGAGGGCAACGGCGCAGAAACGACACGUCCCCUCAAAGAUGAGAAUGAAAGCGGUGAAGGGAGUUCGUGAGGGCUCCCGAGUUAACCCGCAGACGAUUUGAGGGGGAGCGGUGAAACGGCCGUCCCGCGGGGUGCAAGGCCGAGAAAGGGGCAAUGAGUUCCCGGUGUUAGCUCCGUGGUAGGCCGCUUAGUCGAAUGCCUUCUCAAUACAGAAGGCGGACUAUAGCCCCCUCAC